GAUGAACGCUGGCGGCGUGCCUAACACAUGCAAGUCGAACGGAGAUUGUUCGCUGCGGAGUCUUCGGACAAAGCUUGAACAAUCUUAGUGGCGGACGGGUGAGUAACGCGUGGGCAACCUGCCUUGCACAGGGGGAUAGCAGUUGGAAACGACUGGUAAUACCGCAUAUCUUGGAGAAAACGCAUGUUUACUUCAAGAAAACAUUAGUGGUGCAAGAUGGGCCCGCGUCCGAUUAGAUAGUUGGUGGGGUAACGGCCUACCAAGUCGACGAUCGGUAGCCGACCUAAGAGGGCGGACGGCCACAUUGGGACUGAGACACGGCCCAGACUCCUACGGGAGGCAGCAGUGGGGAAUAUUGCACAAUGGAGGGAACUCUGAUGCAGCGACGCCGCGUGAGCGAAGAAGUAUUUCGGUAUGUAAAGCUCUAUCAGUAGGGAAGAUAAUGGCG
rnacentral:rRNA from 1 species